rnacentral:rRNA from 1 species
UACCAGCACCCCGAGUGGUCGGGACGAUUAUUGGGCCUAAAGCAUCCGUAGCCGGUUCUGCAAGUCCCCCGUUAAAUCCAGCUGCUCAACAGAUGGGCCGCGGAGGAUACUACAGAGCUAGGAGGCAGGAGAGGCAAGCGGUACUCAGUGGGUAGGGGUAAAAUCCGUUGAUCCAUUGAAGACCACCAGUGGCGAAGGCGGCUUGCCAGAAUGCGCUCGACGGUGAGGGAUGAAAGCUGGGGGAGCAAACCGGAUUAGAUACCCGGGUAGUCCCAGCCGUAAACGAUGCAGACUCGGUGAUGGGUUGGCUUCGCGCUAACCCAGUGCCGCAGGGAAGCCGUUAAGUCUGCCGCCUGGGUAGUACGGUCGCAAGACUGAAACUUAA